rnacentral:tRNA from 1 species
GGUUCCAUAGUGUAGCAGUUAGCAUGUCUGCUUUACAUGCAGAAGGUCCUUGGUUCGCGCCCGGGUGGAGCCA